UACGUAGGGGCUAGCGUUGUCCGGAUUUAUUGGGCGUAAAGAGCGUGUAGGCGGCCAGGUAGGUCUGCUGUGAAAACUCGAGGCUCAACCUCGAGACGUCGGCGGAAACCAUCUGGCUAGAGUCCGGAAGAGGAGAGUGGAAUUCCUGGUGUAGCGGUGAAAUGCGUAGAUAUCAGGAGGAACACCGGUGGUGUAGACGGCUUUCUGGACCGUAACUGACGCUGAGACACGAAAGCGUGGGUAGCAAACAGG
rnacentral:rRNA from 1 species